CUGAGCCGCAUCUUCCGAAGAAGGCAGGGAUCGCAGUGGGGUGGGGUGGCCCGGGGCGUGGGGCGCGCCGGGGGCGGGUGCGGUUCCGCCGGUGCCGUGUGCGCUCCACGGGCCCUAACUCAGUACUGGGCCCGCCGCGGGCCUGACCCCGCCCUCGGAAGCCCCGCCCCGGACACGCUGUAGGGGGUUUCCACGGUGAUGGCAGAGAAACCUGAACUGCCUCAGGACCACUGCCGAGUCCCCCGCCUUCCGCCGUCCUCUAGCUGCUCGGAGGAACGACCGAGGUGGCGGGCGUGAGAGCAGGAGCGUGGCGACUCGGACCCCAGGUGCAGAACAAACGGAGCACGCACUUGGGCUUUCCCCAGAGCCCUCUGCGUUGUUAAGCCUCGGGUGGAAUUGGGGGUUGUGUGGCUGUGAGCCGUGGCGCCUGCUGGAUGAAAACAGAAAUCAGUCCUGCUCUCUGCGGUGGACAAUUCAUUACCUACCAGAGUGUCUCCCACUGAAGGUAUCCGCAGUUGUUCUUUAAGGAUCCAGUUUGUGGCACUAAGAAGGAAAGACAUCAGUGGAAAGGAGCCCCUAUCAGAGCAACAUGAAUUCUGCUAAAAUUGAAGCAAGGAGAAACAUCAAAUUUAUGGUGAAGCUUGGGUGGAAGAACGGUGAAAUCAUUGAUGCUUUACGAAAAGUUUAUGGGGAUAACGCCCCAGAGAAAUCAGAGGUUCACAAAUGGAUAACUCAUUUUAAGGAGGGACGAGACCAUUUUGAAGAUGAAGCCCACAGCAGCAGACCAUCCACAUCAAUUUGUGAGGAAAAAAAUUAAUCUUGUUCCUGCCCUAAUUAAAGUUGAGCAAAGUUUCCAGUCAGUGGGUAGCAAAACUGUUGUGCCCAGAUCAGCUGCAGAUAAGAGCAGAGCUUUGAAUAGAAAUUUAAACAAGUGGGAUCAAGAUCCUGAUGCAUUUUCGAAGAAUUGUAACAAGAUGAAUACAGUAUCCUGAAGGCACAGCACAGUCAAAGCCAUGGCUACCAAGAGGUGGAAGUUGUCCAGUCAAAGCAAAAGUGGACUGUUCAAGAGCAAAGGUCAUGGCAACAGUUUUUUGGGAUGCUCAAAGCAUUUUGCUUGUUGACUUUCAGGAGGGUGAAAGAAUGAUAAUGUGCUUAUUAUUAGAGUGUUUUGAGAAAGACAAGUUUAGCGGAAAAACACCUGAGAAAGCUUCACCAGAGUCCUUCUCCACCACGACAAUGGUCCCGCUCAUUCUUCUCAUCAAACAAGGGCAGUUUUAUGACAGUUUAAAUGGGAAAUCAUUAUGCAUCCACCUUACAGUCCUGAUUUGGCUCCUUCUGACUUUUUUUUCCUCAUCUUAAAAAAAUCUUUAAAGGGCACUGAUUUUUCUUCAGUUAAUAAUGUAAAAAAGAGUGCAUUGACAUGGUUAAAUUCCAGGACCCUCAGUUUAUUUCUUCAGCCAGGAAGGACAUUGGUAUUGAACAACAAUAACUACGAUGGCUUCCAGUGCUUUGAUACCUUAAAUGCGUGGCCUUCUGGCUGGGCAUCUGUGAUUUCACAUUGUUGGAACAUUCAUCGUAUCCCUGGGGGUUGUAUCUCUCUGUAAGUUUGCUGCAGCUGAGCCAAGAAAGAAAGAAUGUGAAUGCAGAUUUCUACAGGAUUAUGAUUCCAUGAAAGAUUUUGAGGUGAGGAAGGCUGGUGUCUUUCAGAGUGCAAAGUGGCUUUGGAACGCAAAGACUUUCUUUGGAUUUUUAUAAAAGUUUGUCACGCUGUGUUUCUGAACAUGUGGGUGAAGAAAUAGUUUCUCUUGAUAAAUGAACAAUUAACAACAAAAUUCCCAGGACCCUUAAUUCUUUAGGCAGGGAUUAAAUGGCUGAUGUCAUUGCUUACAAAUUUGUCUUGAACUUCAUGGAGCUUAUGUUGAGAAAUAAAAUUUAUAUAUAUAUUUUUUUUUCAUUCUAUUUUUCCAUGAACUUUUUGUAGUCCCCUUGUAUGGCCACAGAUACGGAGACAGCGAGUUCAAGUCCACCACCAGCCACUGCGUCCACAUGAGAGGGCUGCCAUACAAAGCGACUGAGGACAACAUCUACAACUUCUCUCCACUCAACCCUGUGAGAGUCCACAUUGAGAUCGGCCCUGAUGGAAGAGUGACAGGCAAAGCAGAUGCUGAGUUUGCCACUCACAAAGAAGCCGUGGCAGCUAUGUCCAAAGACAGGGCCAACGUGCAGCAUAGAUAAAUAGAACUUUUUGAAUUCGACGACAAUGGGAGCUAGCAACGGGGCUUACAGCAGACAGGUGAUGGAAGGCAUGGGGGUGUCCGCAGCCCAGGCCUCCUACAGCGGCCUGGAGAGCCCGGCGGUGAGUGGCUGUUAACGGGACCAGCUACAGUGGUCAGAACAGCAUGGAUGGAUACGACUAGCUUUGUAGGGGCGUUGGAGUUAUUACAGUCAAAUUUUCACAGGCAGCCAAUGAGCAGUGAAGAGCAGUUCUAACUCUAGAGGAAGCUGGGGGACCCAUUUCGCACCAUGAGUUUGUGAAAUCUGGAUUAAAAGAUUACCUCCUGAGUGUUUUCUCAUGCAGGCUUUUCUUCUAGCAUAUGAUAGUGUGUAAGCUAAAACUAUUUUCAGCUUUUUUCAAUGAACAUUUUGGUGGUAGUCUUCAGUGAUGUUGUCUGAGUUAAAAAAGUUUAAGUAUGUUAAAUGUGGAUUUUUCACACUGCAUCACAGUGAACACUUUGGGGAGAUGUGCUUUUUUGGAAAACUCAAAGGUGCUAGAUCCCCAGUUCAAAGACAGACUUUUCUCAUGUUGGUUCAUUCUCGUUUGUAUUUUCAUUUAAAAUCUUUUAGGUUAAGUUUAAGCUUUUAAAAGUUAGAUUUGAGAAUUGAGGCACAAUACUAAUACUGUAGGAAUUGGUGAGGCCUUGACUUAAUAGCUCUCUUUGUACUGUGAUUUCCUUUGGGUGUAUUUUGCUAAGCGAAACAUUAAAUUUUCUGUUAACUAAA